rnacentral:rRNA from 1 species
AUUGAACGCUGGCGGCAGGCCUAACACAUGCAAGUCGAGCGGGUGACGGGAGCUUGCUCCUUGAUUCAGCGGCGGACGGGUGAGUAAUGCCUAGGAAUCUGCCUGGUAGUGGGGGACAACGUUUCGAAAGGAACGCUAAUACCGCAUACGUCCUACGGGAGAAAGCAGGGGACCUUCGGGCCUUGCGCUAUCAGAUGAGCCUAGGUCGGAUUAGCUAGUUGGUGGGGUAAUGGCUCACCAAGGCGACGAUCCGUAACUGGUCUGAGAGGAUGAUCAGUCACACUGGGACGGAGACACGGUCCAGACUCCUACGGGAUGCAGCAGUGGGGAAUAUUGGAAAAUGGGCGAAAGCCUGAUCCAGCCAUGCGGCGUGUGUGAAGAAGGUCUUCGGAUUGUAAAGCACUUUAAGUUGGGAGGAAGGGCAGUAAGUUAAUACCUUGCUGUUUUGACGUUACCGACAGAAUAAGCACCGGCUAACUCUGUGCCAGCCGCCGCCGUAACAC